GAUGAACGCUGGCGGCGUGCUUAACACAUGCAAGUCGAACGGAAAGGCUCCUGCUUGCAGGGGUACUCGAGUGGCGAACGGGUGAGUAACACGUGGGUGAUCUGCCCUGCACUUCGGGAUAAGCCUGGGAAACUGGGUCUAAUACCGGAUAGGACGAUGGUUUGGAUGCCAUUGUGGAAAGUUUUUUCGGUGUGGGAUGAGCUCGCGGCCUAUCAGCUUGUUGGUGGGGUACUGGCCUACCAAGGCGUCGACGGGUAGCCGGCCUGAGAGGGUGUACGGCCACAUUGGGACUGAGAUACGGCCCAGACUCCUACGGGAGGCAGCAGUGGGGAAUAUUGCACAAUGGGCGCAAGCCUGAUGCAGCGACGCCGCGUGGGGGAUGACGGCCUUCGGGUUGUAAACUCCUUUCGCUAGGGACGAAGCGCAAGUGACGGUACCUGGAGAAGAAGCACCGGCUAACUACGUG
rnacentral:rRNA from 1 species